GAAGUUAUAGCUCAGUGGUAGAGUGUGUGCUUGGCAUGCACAAGGUCCUGUGUUCAAUCCCCAGUACCUCCA
rnacentral:tRNA from 1 species